AGGAAUCCCAGGCAGCGUUUAAUUGCAGAGUGCAAAGGCUUUAGUUGGGCUAAUGAGCUCAGCACCGGAGCUGGAACUCUUUCACGCACUCUCUGAGAGACAGAGACACAUAUGGAGUCCUUUACCGGAGGAAUCCCCACAAAGCGGCUGGAUUUCAGGUAGAGGAGAAAGAAGGAAUUUCCACAUUCAGGUACAGCCGACUAUGUGAGAGAAUAUACCAGAGGCAAGAGACUGAGUAAGAGGUGGAGAAAAGAGAGAGGAGAGCGGGAGAGGGGAGGGGAGGAAACGGGAAACACACUGCCAGAGAGAGAGAGAGAGAGAGAGAGAGAGAGAGAGAGAGAGAGAGAGAGAGAGAGAGAGACUGGAAGGCUGCAGCAGCAAAUGAGACAGAACAACGAGGCGGGAGAGGUAGAACGAGAGACAGAGAGGGAGGGAGGUGGAGAGGGGCCCCUAGUAGGAGAGAGAGGGCUACAGGGUGAGGAAGAAGAAGGAGUAAGAAAAAGUUAGGAGGAAGUAAGAGAGAGUGGGAAAGUACGGACGUAAAGAUUAACAGCUACAGGAGAGAAGAAGAAAUAGGGGAAACAACAGACAGGAAGGAAGGGGAGGGAGAAGUCCUGGGUAAAAAAAGAGCUGAAGAAAAGUUUUCUUGUGGGAAGACGCAGAUGAGGAAAACAGAGCGAGUGAAUGACUGGGCUGGAGAGAGCUGGGAGGGGAGAAAACCAGUUGUUUUCUAAGGCGUUUUCUACACCAGUCCCUGGACUUCUUUGGACAUGUACACAGAAGGCGCACAAGUAGCGGGACACCAUCGAUUUCUUCAGCACAACUCCAAUCCCAACGCCUGCCCCUGCCAGCACUGCAUCCACUAUGAGCAGCCACUAUACGGCCAUCACAGUGGGCCGGGAUUCCACCCAGCAUCAGCCAGACAGACGGACCACCCAUCGCUGGACUGCAGGAGAGACACCCAGGCUCCUCGGGUUAAAGACGUAGGAGGGAGAGCGUUCGUAGUGGACAGAGUUGAGAGAGGCGGUCAUCGUAGCCCACAGAGGAGGCCUGUGUUUGCAGGGCUGGGCCCUUACAGCCAGUCUGAUGACCUGAGCCAAGUGUGCCCCUGGGAGUUGAACCCUGCCCAGUGGGGCUACCCAGUGGAGCCUGGGGUGAGACACUAUUCAUCAGUCAGAGAACAGUGUGGCUGUGUGGUGUGUGCUGACAGCCGGGCACACCCCUUUAACGCUGGGAUACCACAUCCUCUUCCUCAUCUUCAGGUCAAAGGUCAGGGGUACAGGCACAGAAGGACCGUCAGGUACGUCUCAGUGGACGAGGAGGACAGCUGUGGAUGCACCUCUGAAAGCUAUCAUCUGGAGCUACACAAUCCCCAGCCAAGUCAUUUGCACAUGCCAAAUGGCCACUGUGGACCGAGGCCUGUGUUCUUUGAGGGAGUGGAGGAAAGAGAUAGCCAUCAGGACCGGAGCAGACUCAGGGGUGGAUCAGAGGAGGGUUUUAAUGGAUGUGGUGGCUCUCAUAAAGGUUUCUUCUCCACUGAAGUCCCUCAAAAGCACUUGAACCAAAGCAGACGGACGGGUGUCUGCGUCCCUCCCUCUGCCAUCACCAAUCCAGAAACCUCACAGUCAACAAACAACAACAGCGUCCACAGACGUCAGGGAUCAGAGCUGGCGAAGCAGAAGAGGAGGCAGGAUUUGGUGAGGGAUCAAAUCCGACAAGUGGUGACAGAUCUGGAGGACGUGUUGGGGGGUUUGAAGCAAGUUCACAUCGAGAUGAAAGAGGUGGUUGAGCAGAUCGAUCGUCUCACAGCCAACAUCGACCUCUGCGAGGAGGUGCCCUGCAUCACUCAGGGGUCAUCCAAUAACUGUCACGACGCAACUCAAUUUGGAGACCUCAGGCCAGCCCUGGUGCCCAAUCACAAGCCUGUCUCAGCUCAGGCCUCGCAGCACGUCGAUGAAGACCGCAUCAUACUGAGAACUAACGCUCCCUCCCCUGUCCACAUGGCAUCGGUGGUCAAAACCAGCUGCUUUACCCCACCCAGUCUCAACAAAGACCACGAAAGGCCAGGUAUGAACGGCCACCCGCCUCACCUGUACGCCCACAGAGACUCCAACCACAUCGGGCAAAAUCAUGGGAAACCUCAUCCACAGACCCUGGACCCUAAGGUCAUCAUUGGGAACAGCACCUCCAAUUCUAGAACUCAAAAGCCUCCACCUUACCCCCAAAAUGGCCGGUGUGGGAAGGGCCCAUACCCGCCUGCCAAACCUAUGAGAACCACCGCCUACCCAGGGAGAGGCCCUCAGAGCACCAGCAUGGUGUGAAGGAGGGGGGGGUUGGUGGUGGUGGUCUGCCCCAGUGCCAUGGGGGCCUGAAACAUGAGACCCUGCUGCAGCGAGUGGAGGUCAGAGAGGGACCAAGCAGGGGGACAACUCAUGGUGAGUUCAGAACGCCGUCCCUCUCACUCUCUUCUUCUUCUUCUUCUUUUAUAGUGUUGAUGCUCUCAGCUGAUGACGUUUGCUGUUUACUGGCAGCACAGUGUUCAAAGUCAGUAAAUGAAUUGCAGUGUUCCUCCCCGGUACAAAAGGGACGUAUGUGUUUGAUGUAUGUGUGUGUGUGUGUGUGUGUGUGUGUGUGUGUGGGCGGCCCUGGAGGGGGUGUAAUGUGUCUGCUUUUGUUGAUGUCACAUGGUUUCCCAGUCUUCACUACACUGCAAAAUGUGUCUGUCUUCGCAAGUUAAACAGGAAACGUUCGGCCACACACACACACGGUCAUAAUCAUCCAAUCAUCCAGCAGGGUGAGAGAUUUUCAUCUGUUCAAGUGAGCUGAUGCUUUUAUGAGUAGAUUUGAUCUGCAAAACAGGAUUUUGGCUUUUUUUUUUUUAAAUCUGUGGAAUCUGAGGGCAGACGGUGAGAUAAAAUCUUGAGACAGACUUUAUUUUUUACAGUGGAACUUAGUCAUAACUUUGAAGGAACUAAGGCUUGGCAAGAGCCGCUUGACUUCCAAUCAUGUGACACAAAAAAAGGCAUCAUUAGAUUUACAGGAUGAUCAUAGCUCUGACUCAGAAUUGGCAUAAUUUAGUGUUAGGGGGGCUGAUGAGGAGGAACUAAGCCUUUCUUCCCGUACCACCGUCAGAUGUGUCAUUACCGACUGUGAGCUCGAAGCAGCUUUAAUAAUAAGAUGACAUCUGUGUAAAAGUCCCUGUAGUAGAAGUGGAAAAUUAAAGAGCAGAUACAUACCCUCCUCCUGAGAGUCCACCUUUGUGCAUGUUUCUGUACUUCCCUCUUGUGCAGAGUAUGCGUAACUGCAAUCUAUUUUUCUGGCCUCUCCAAGUUGGGCAAGCACAAUCUGGUUUUAAUCAUAAAACCCCCCUGAACACAUGCCAGAACAGAGCGAGGCAAACUCUCGCUAUAUUUGUGACGUCCAUAUAAACAGGAGCACCGCUGCACAGGGAGGCAGCUCUCCACACAAUGCUGCAGGGACAGAGAGAGAGAGAGAGAGAGAGAGAGAGACUCCUGAGGCUGCAGCUACAGGUCGAGGCUGGCAGCAGCCGGCACACCAAACCGGGUCGCCAGGGAACAUCUGCCUGAGCUUUCAUUCAUCUGAGCGUCUCUGUUGCUUUCAGACUCUUAAAGCAUCAAUGCCGUAGGCGUUCUAAAAGGCUUGAAUCAUCACAAUUAGUCACCCAGGGCAAGUUCAAUGCUAAACUGACAACCACAAAGACAUUCUGCGCUAAGCAACCACCAUCAUUGAUUGUUUGAAAAUCCUAUCAGUUUCUUUUCAUAUAGUUACACGAUUUUACAGAAGCCAUAAUUAAACCACGAAAACCAGACAAUAAUAAACAACAAUUAAUUCACUCA
ensembl:lncRNA